UACGGAGGGGGCUAGCGUUGUUCGGAAUUACUGGGCGUAAAGCGCACGUAGGCGGCUUUGUAAGUUAGAGGUGAAAGCCCAGGGCUUAACCCCUGGAAUUGCCUUUAAGACUGCAUCGCUAGAAUCGUGGAGAGGUGAGUGGAAUUCCGAGUGUAGAGGUGAAAUUCGUAGAUAUUCGGAAGAAACACCAGUGGCGAAGGCGACUCACUGGACACGUAUUGACGCUGAGGUGCGAAAGCGUGGGGAGCAAACAGG
rnacentral:rRNA from 1 species